CUCUUAUUCAGAGUGAUGGAGUUACAUAGGAACUGUGAAGUCACGGCAACCCCGCCAUGCGGAAGGUGCCAACCUGAGCGAGUAGUCGAACAAUAAGAG
rnacentral:ncRNA from 2 species